rnacentral:rRNA from 1 species
UGGGGAAUAUUGGACAAUGGGGGCAACCCUGAUCCAGCCAUGCCGCGUGAGUGAUGAAGGCCUUCGGGUUGUAAAGCUCUUUUGGCGGGGACGAUGAUGACGGUGCCCGCAGAAUAAGCCCCGGCUAACUUCGUGCCAGCAGCCGCGGUAAGACGAAGGGGGCUAGCGUUGUUCGGAAUUACUGGGCGUAAAGCGAGUGUAGGCGGUUGCCGUAGUCAGGUGUGAAAGCCUUGAGCUCAACUCAAGAAAUGCACUUGAUACUGGGUGACUAGAGGACCGGAGAGGAUAGUGGAAUUCCCAGUGUAGUGGUGAAAUACGUAGAGAUUGGGAAGAACACCAGUGGCGAAGGCGGCUAUCUGGACGGUUACUGACGCUAAGACUCGAAAGCGUGGGGAGCAAAC